AUUGAACGCUGGCGGCAUGCCUUACACAUGCAAGUCGAACGGCAGCACGGGAGCAAUCCUGGUAGCGAGUGGCGAACGGGUGAGUAAAGUAUCGGAACGUGCCCAGUCGUGGGGGAUAACGUAGCGAAAGUUACGCUAAUACCGCAUACGAUCUAUGGAUGAAAGCGGGGGAUCGCAAGACCUCGCGCGAUUGGAGCGGCCGAUAUCAGAUUAGGUGGUUGGUGGGGUAAAGGCUCACCAAGCCGACGAUCUGUAGCUGGUCUGAGAGGACGACCAGCCACACUGGGACUGAGACACGGCCCAGACUCCUACGGGAGGCAGCAGUGGGGAAUUUUGGACAAUGGGCGAAAGCCUGAUCCAGCCAUGCCGCGUGCAGGAUGAAGGCCUUCGGGUUGUAAACUGCUUUUGUACGGAACGAAAAGGUUUGGCCUAAUAAGCUGAGCUCAUGACGGUACCGUAAGAAUAAGCACCGGCUAACUACGUGCCAGCAGCCGCCGUAA
rnacentral:rRNA from 1 species